rnacentral:rRNA from 1 species
AAUACGUUCCCGGGCCUUGUACACACCGCCCGUCACGUCACGAAAGUUGGUAACACCCGAAGCCGACGGCCUAACCCGUAAGGGAGGGAGUUGUCGAAGGUGGGACUGGCGAUUGGGACG